rnacentral:rRNA from 1 species
AGAGUUGAUCAUGGCUCAGAAUCAACGCUGGCGGCGUGCCUCAGACAUGCAAGUCGAACGAUUAAAGCUCUCUUCGGAGAGUGUAUAGAGUGGCGCACGGGUGAGUAACACGUAAGUAAUCUACCCUCGAGUGGGGAAUAACAACCGGAAACGGUUGCUAAUACCGCAUAAUGCAGCGGCACCGCAAGGUGACAGUUGUUAAAGAUUUAUCGCUUGAGGAGGAGCUUGCGGCAGAUUAGCUAGUUGGUAGGGUAACGGCUUACCAAGGCUACGAUCUGUAACCGGUCUAAGAGGACGGUCGGUCACACUGACACUGAAUAACGGGUCAGACUCCUACGGGAGGCAGCAGUCGGGAAUUUUGGGCAAUGGGCGAAAGCCUGACCCAGCAACGCCGCGUGAAGGAUGAAGUAUUUCGGUAUGUAAACUUCGAAAGAAUAGGAAGAAUUAAUGACGGUACUAUUUAUAAGGUCCGGCUAACUACGUG